CUGAGCAGCAGCUCUUUUCAGAACUAUACUCACCCGUACGAUCACACUAUACCGACUAAUCGAUCCCUGACUAGAUGAUCAUUGUUGUUUUGGAUGAUGCAGAUUGUCAAGGAAUAUUUAGACCCUUUCUUGUUAGUCUUUCAAAAGUUUACAUCAGACCUGUUCUUUCUAUGUUUUGAAUAUCGGUGAGAAUUGAGGUUUUACUUUCUUCAUGCCUGUGAAACGUUCAGAAGUAUCGCUCUGGCUAAGGAAAGCUUGACCCCAUUCAAUCCAAAUCUAAGUGUCUCCCGGUCGUUGGACAAAUUAGUAAUCGCGGACAGAUAUCGCGAAAAUGAGACUUUAUUUUCAACUGACUAUAUGUUUUUUUUACAGGAAAGAAGGAAGAACAGAAAGGUUUACCAAAAAGCACAAUUUAUGGAAUAAUUGCAGGAGGGAUUUGUUUUCUGGCAUUGGUAAUUGCCAUCGCUGCUAUAGUUUGUGUUAAGAAAAGGCGAUCGCGUUCUCGAGGUGUUAACAAGGAGGUCAUGAGUAAAAGCUCCAAGAAAGUGACUAUUACCAACUAUGAUAACCCAGCAAUGGAGUCGAAGACAGAGGACCCCAAGGAAGAAUUGUAAAGCGAGUGACGGUCGGUUCACAGCUGGAGUGUCUUCUAUUCCCAAUGGAUCAAUCAACAGUGGCUGGUUUUAUAUCAUAGAACCUACUAAGUGUGUGAAGUUACAUACGCUUACUCUGUUGACAACUUUCUAAAGGAACUGAUCCCUAGAGUUUAGCCCCGCCCCUUUUUUUUCAUGUUUCCUUGUCAGCUUGUAGAAUGUAGCACGGACGUUUGUACCCCGCUUGAAAGGAAAAAAUCAAAACGUCAAAGUGGGGCCAUUAGGUGACUCUGUUAGGUUAUUUUUGAGACUGUAUUAUACUGUCAACCGUAAAUAAUGUCCAUUGGUAAACUUUUGAGUACAUUUUGUAAAAACUCUAACAAGUAAGUUAUUCGAUUACUGUAUGUCGAAUAAAACAAGUUAGAAAACUUGAUAUUGCCUUGACAUUGGCAAUGUUUGUCGGUCUUCUUUCUUUUGGAUACUUAGGCAUGCAACCGUCUCCUUGUACUGUCACGUAACUAUGGCAUCUUGUAUACUAAACAGCCAGUGAAUACGCAUUCCACUGUACGUAACUGACAAUUUUUUGAACCUUAUUAGCUUGUUUCAAAGCAAAAUCUUCACGCGAAAUUC